rnacentral:lncRNA from 1 species
UAAAAUCUAAAAUAACUCAAACAUCAAUAAUCUGUACAAAAAUCAUUCAUUCUAUUGUAAUUUUAUAUUGGUAUCAGCCCAUAUAUCAGCCUAUGCCACCAUUUUGUGACAUAGGCUGAUUUCUGAUGACGUUUUAUAUAAACAAAACCGAAAAAAUCUCCAUUUUUCAAACUCUUCAGUGAUUUAACAUAAUAGCAAUAAUGUUGAUAUGAUGUCCAUGGCAUAUAGAAGAGUGUAUAUUGCCUUUCAUGAUUUCAGACAAAAAUCUCAUCAAUACUCAAUACUCAGAGACGAAGUACACUAUGCAUUAAGUAAAAUGAAACAUGGAAAAGCAGCAGGUGAAGAUGGAAUAACUGCAGAUAUUUUGAAGGAAGCAGAUGAUAUGGAUUUUCCUAACAAAGGUUUUCGAUAAAUGUCUAAAACAUCAGGAUUUUUCAGAUGAUUGGAAGAGUGCAAUUAUUGCUGUUCAAAACUGCUCAAAAAAAGAGAAACAGAAGAUAUUAGAUACUAUUGACAAAAAUAUUAACAUUAAGGACGCAGAAAGCUUUUGAUGAGACCAGCCAAGAGAGCAGAUAGGAUUUAGAAGCAGCUUCAAACUAUUAACCACAUACAUUAUAAUGAGAGAUAUAAUAGAGAAGACAAAAAAAAAAAAAAAGAUCUUCC